GCCCGGGUGGUCUAGUGGUAUGAUUCUCGCUUAGGGAUAACCCCAAGCACAUAUGCGAGAGGUCCCGCGUUCGAUCCGCGGCUCGGGCC